GGGCUGUUAGUUCAGCGGGAGAACGCUUCGUUGACAUCGAAGAGGUCACUGGUUCGAUCCCAGUACAGCCCA
rfam:Amphibacillus xylanus NBRC 15112 DNA, complete genome.